rnacentral:rRNA from 1 species
UACGUAGGGUGCGAGCGUUGUCCGGAAUUAUUGGGCGUAAAGGGCUCGUAGGCGGUCUGUCGCGUCGGGAGUGAAAACUCAGGGCUUAACCCUGAGCCUGCUUCCGAUACGGGCAGACUAGAGGUAUGCAGGGGAGAACGGAAUUCCUGGUGUAGCGGUGGAAUGCGCAGAUAUCAGGAGGAACACCGGUGGCGAAGGCGGUUCUCUGGGCAUUACCUGACGCUGAGGAGCGAAAGUGUGGGGAGCGAACGGG